GCAUGACUUCCCAUGAAACUUUGCAUGAACUCCAUUAGAAGGUUCCAACAGUCAUUGGCCACCACACAGGGACAGUAUUCCACCUGGCAACAGACACAGAAACUUCAAAACAGAGCUAACGAUAAUUCCACAGGAGGUAUCCUUACCUCCACAGAUAUUCCUCGAGCGCUGGGUCCCAUGGUAACAGUGCCAACCUUCACCAAGAAAUCACAGUACUGGUAUCGGGUGCCCCGGCUCUCUAUCUUGUUCCCUUUGGCAUUUUGAAAGAAGCCUUUCAGUUUCACCAUAAGGACGUCAAAGUUGGCAUCUGCUAUGAGGCAGGGGCCAUUUUCAAAGAGAGCGAAACAGCUGAGGGGAUAUUCAGAAUUGUGCAUCACGUACAUCAGCUUGGCAGUCUGCCCUGAAACAAGAGCAGCAUUAUUAUCGCUUCAAGAAGGAUAUUCCUUCUCUCUUACAUGCUUUAAAAUGAAACAUCUGUUAUAUCUUUCUUUGUCAUUUCUGUUCCAAGCCACUGCUUUCAAGUCAGAAUCUUUUAUGUUAUUCAUUAAAGACUGACGCUGCA